AUGAACGCUGGCGGCGUGCCUAAUACAUGCAAGUCGAGCGAACAGACGAGGAGCUUGCUCCUCUGACGUUAGCGGCGGACGGGUGAGUAACACGUGGAUAACCUACCUAUAAGACUGGGAUAACUUCGGGAAACCGGAGCUAAUACCGGAUAAUAUAUUGAACCGCAUGGUUCAAUAGUGAAAGACGGUUUUGCUGUCACUUAUAGAUGGAUCCGCGCCGCAUUAGCUAGUUGGUAAGGUAACGGCUUACCAAGGCAACGAUGCGUAGCCGACCUGAGAGGGUGAUCGGCCACACUGGAACUGAGACACGGUCCAGACUCCUACGGGAGGCAGCAGUAGGGAAUCUUCCGCAAUGGGCGAAAGCCUGACGGAGCAACGCCGCGUGAGUGAUGAAGGUCUUCGGAUCGUAAAACUCUGUUAUUAGGGAAGAACAAAUGUGUAAGUAACUAUGCACGUCUUGACGGUACCUAAUCAGAAAGCCACGGCUAAUUACGUGC
rnacentral:rRNA from 1 species